AUUGAACGCUGGCGGCAUGCUUUACACAUGCAAGUCGAACGGCAGCGCGGGCUUCGGCCUGGCGGCGAGUGGCGAACGGGUGAGUAAUGCAUCGGAACGUGCCCAGUAGUGGGGGAUAGCCCGGCGAAAGCCGGAUUAAUACCGCAUACGACCUGAGGGUGAAAGCGGGGGACCGAAAGGCCUCGCGCUAUUGGAGCGGCCGAUGUCGGGUUAGCUAGUUGGUGGGGUAAAGGCUUACCAAGGCGACGAUCCGUAGCUGGUCUGAGAGGACGACCAGCCACACUGGGACUGAGACACGGCCCAGCCUCCUACGGGAGGCAGCAGUGGGGAAUUUUGGACAAUGGGGGCAACCCUGAUCCAGCCAUGCCGCGUGCGGGAAGAAGGCCUUCGGGUUGUAAACCGCUUUUGUUCGGGAAGAAAUCCUCUGGGCUAAUACCCCGGGGGGAUGACGGUACCGGAAGAAUAAGCACCGGCUAACUACGU
rnacentral:rRNA from 1 species